GAUUUCCUGAGUAGCGGCGAGCGAAACGGAACAUAGCCCAAACCAAGAGGCUUGCCUCUUGGGGUUGUAGGACAUUCUAUACGGAGUUACAAAGGAACGAGGUAGACGAAGCGACCUGGAAAGGUCCGUCGUAGAGGGUAACAACCCCGUAGUCGAAACUUCGUUCUCUCUUGAAUGUAUCCUGAGUACGGCGGAACACGUGAAAUUCCGUCGGAAUCUGGGAGGACCAUCUCCCAAGGCUAAAUACUCCCUAGUGAUCGAUAGUGAACCAGUACCGUGAGGGAAAGGUGAAAAGCACCCCGGAAGGGGAGUGAAAGAGAUCCUGAAACCGUGUGCCUACAAAUAGUCAGAGCCCGUUAACGGGUGAUGGUGUGCCUUUUGUAGAAUGAACCGGCGAGUUACGAUCCCGUGCGAGGUUAAGCUGAAGAUGCGGAGCCGCAUCUAAAGCGAGUCAGAAUACGGCGUUUAUUACCCGGUCUUACACCCCAAACCUGGUGAU
rnacentral:rRNA from 2 species